AGUGAACGCUGGCGGUAGGCCUAACACAUGCAAGUCGAACGGCAGCACAGUAAGAGCUUGCUCUUACGGGUGGCGAGUGGCGGACGGGUGAGGAAUACAUCGGAAUCUACUUUUUCGUGGGGGAUAACGUAGGGAAACUUACGCUAAUACCGCAUACGACCUACGGGUGAAAGCAGGGGAUCUUCGGACCUUGCGCGAUUGAAUGAGCCGAUGUCGAAUUAGCUAGUUGGCGGGGUAAAGGCCCACCAAGGCGACGAUCCGUAGCUGGUCUGAGAGGAUGAUCAGACACACUGGAACUGAGACACGGUCCAGACUCCUACGGGAGGCAGCAGUGGGGAAUAUUGGACAAUGGGCGCAAGCCUGAUCCAGCCAUACCGCGUGAGUGAAGAAGGCCUUCGGGUUGUAAAGCCCUUUUGUUGGGAAAGAAAAGCAGCAGGUUAAUACCCCGCUGUUCUGACGGUACCCAAAGAAUAAGCACCGGCUAACUUCGUG
rnacentral:rRNA from 1 species